rnacentral:rRNA from 1 species
GACGAACGCUGGCGGCGUGCUUAACACAUGCAAGUCGAACGGAAAGGCCCUGCUUUUGUGGGGUGCUCGAGUGGCGAACGGGUGAGUAACACGUGAGUAACCUGCCCUUGACUUUGGGAUAACUUCAGGAAACUGGGGCUAAUGCCGGAUAGGAGCUCCUGCUGCAUGGUGGGGGUUGGAAAGUUUCGGCGGUUGGGGAUGGACUCGCGGCUUAUCAGCUUGUUGGUGGGGUAGUGGCUUACCAAGGCUUUGACGGGUAGCCGGCCUGAGGGGGUGACCGGCCACAUUGGGACUGAGGUACGGCCCAGACUCCUACGGGAGGCAGCAGUGGGGAAUAUUGCACAAUGGGCGGAAGCCUGAUGCAGCAACGCCGCGUGCGGGAUGACGGCCUUCGGGUUGUAAACCGCUUUCGCCUGUGACGAAGCGUGAGUGACGGUAAUGGGUAAAGAAGCACCGGCUAACUACGUG